rnacentral:rRNA from 1 species
GACGGAGGGUGCAAGCGUUGUUCGGAAUCACUGGGCGUAAAGCGCGUGUAGGCGGUUCGAUUAGUCGAGUGUGAAAGCCCGAGGCUCAACUUCGGAAGCGCAUUCGAAACUGUCGGGCUUGAGUACGGGAGAGGGAAGUGGAAUUCCUGGUGUAGAGGUGAAAUUCGUAGAUAUCAGGAGGAACACCGGUGGCGAAGGCGGCUUCCCGGACCGAUACUGACGCUGAGACGCGAAAGCGUGGGGAGCAAACAGG